AUUGAACGCUGGCGGAAUGCUUUACACAUGCAAGUCGAACGGCAGCACGGGUGCUUGCACCUGGUGGCGAGUGGCGAACGGGUGAGUAAUACAUCGGAACGUACCCAGUCGUGGGGGAUAACGUAGCGAAAGUUACGCUAAUACCGCAUACGUCCUGAGGGAGAAAGCGGGGGACCGUAAGGCCUCGCGCGAUUGGAGCGGCCGAUGGCGGAUUAGCUAGUUGGGGGGGUAAAGGCCUACCAAGGCGACGAUCCGUAGCGGGUCUGAGAGGACGGCCAGCCACACUGGAACUGAGACACGGUCCAGACUCCUACGGGAGGCAGCAGUGGGGAAUUUUGGACAAUGGGCGAAAGCCUGAUCCAGCCAUUCCGCGUGAGUGAAGAAGGCCUUCGGGUUGCAAAGCUCUUUCGGCAGGGAAGAAACGGCUUGGGAUAAUACCCCGGGCUAAUGACGGUACCUGAAGAAGAAGCACCGGCUAACUACGUGCCAGCAGCCGCGGUAA
rnacentral:rRNA from 1 species